AGGAGCACCUUGAGAGUUUUGAAACCCGUCAGUAUCUUCAUUGCCCCCGUGACAUUGGUGAGUCUGUUACGAGAAAGUGAGAGGAAGGUCAAGUUUUUCAAUUGAAGAAUCUCAGGUUGGAUUUGGCCCUCGAAAUCAUUUGUAGCCAGUCGAAGUGCUUUGAGGGACUUGCAUGAGUAGAGGCUUAUUGGCAAGGUACCAGUGAGAUUAUUACUUAUACAAUCUAGUUUACUAAGAUGAGUAAGUUUAGAGAAAUUGAGGGCAGAGAUAUUCCCACUAAAACGGUUGAAUCCCAGAUUUAUUUCAACAAGGUUUGUGCAAUUCAUCAGAGAUGAGGGCAGAUGACCUUCGAGAUUGUUGUAUUGAAGGCGCAUGAGCUUUAAUUUGGAGAGCUUCCCAACAUUCUUACUGAUGGGUCCCACAAGCCCAUUGGUAGAUAAUGAAAUUUCUUGAAGUGCCUGAGCAUUGUAGAUAUCAGUAGGGAGGGAUCCUGAGAGAGUAUUGUCGCCAGCACGAAAUACCUCCAACUCGGAACAGUUUCCAAGUCCGGGAGGAAUUGGGCCACUGAAAUUAUUGUGGGAGAAAUCCAAGACUCUAAGCGAGGAUGAACGAAGACAGGUAGAGGAAGGUAUUUGGCCUGUAAAGUGAUUAUUGCUGACAUUCAAACUGCUCAAAUUCCAGGCAUGCUGGAGGAAUGAAGAUGGAAUUGUUCCGUUGAAUUGAUUGCUUGAAAAAUCAACUAUUUGGAUGUAACUUGAUGAUAAAGACAUUGGUAUUUCUCCGGAGAAAAGGUUAUAGCUCAAAUCAAGAAUCUCAAGGCGACUCAAGGACAAGAACAUCCCGGCUUCAAGAGAGCCGGAAAGCAGAUUGUGGGAGAGAUUGAGGUGCGAAAGAAGCUUAAGGUUUCCAAGUGAUGAAGGAAAAGUACCUCCUGUGAGGCCCUUGGAUGGCAACCGCAAUUGGAUGAUCCAACCGUUCUGAUUACAUGUGAUGCCUUCCCACUGGCAACAAUCAACUGAAGCAGUCCAGUUCAAUGCCGGGGAAGACAGAGAGCUCGCAAAGGACUUGAGGGCGCUGCGUUCGGUUAGAUCACAUGCAUGUAUUGUGAAUAAAAUGGAAGAAAACAAGAGGAUGAGAAGGAAGCCAUGAGAGAAUGGAUGAUCCAUCUCAGGUUCAGAUUACUCACAGGUUUUCUUCUGCACUCGUAGAUAGGUAUGCAUAUAUGUCUGAAUCUGCAGAGUAUAUAUACACGUCUUCCGCUUGACUUCAAAGUCAUGACAAGAAAUUCCAUGUUGGUAAGACUCAUGACUUCAAAGUCGUUGAAAGAUUCUUUUAUCUCUUAGUCUUUGGAUUUAAAGGAAACAAAAAAAUUAGAAGGGACGGCUCUGCUUUUCUUUGAGGCUCUGUCUCUGUUUGUUUCUGCAUGACAAGAAAUUCCAUGUUAGUAAUAGUCAUGACAGCGAAGUGAAUAUAACAAGUGAUGCAUUAAUAAAGAAGAAUUGGUACAUUAUAAAUAAAUUAGGGUACAUAUAAAAGAUUAAAAAAUUAUGAGUACAAAUGAAAUUUUAAAAAAAUAUAGACACUAAAAGAAAUUAAUACAUGGGUACAAAAUAAAACUAAAAAGAAAAUACUACAAAUUUAAAAAAAAUGUUGCAAAUUAAAAGUGGGUACAAAUUAAAAAUAUAAAUAUAUGAUACAAAGUUUAGGCAUAAAACAUAAAUAUACCAUAUGUAAUUUUUCUAUCAUUAAUUAAAUAAACAAUGUCACGUGACAGUAUACACAUGGGUACAAACACAAAUAAAACUUUAAAAAAUAUGGACACAAAAAGAAACUAAUAUAUGGGUACAAAUUAAAAAUGAAAAAAAAAUUGGUACAAACUAAAAAUAAAAAUAUAUGAUAAAAAUUUAGCCAUAAAUAUAAAUAUACUAAUUGUAACAUUUUUAACACUAAAGGAAUAUAUUUAAAAAUAAAAAUAUUUUAUUAUUCAAAUAAUUAAUGAUAUUAUUAAUACUCUAGGACCUUGAUCAAAAAUUAAAAAUGAAUAAGAUUUUAAUUAAUGAAGUGAACCUAAUUUCUUUUAUAUUAUAUUAUAUAUUAUUUUAGUAGAUUUUGGGAAUUGAGGCAACGACUUCAAAGUCGUUGAAAGAUUCUGUAAUCUCUUAGUCUUUGGUUUGACUUUAGGCUGUAGCUUUCUUAGAUUUAAAGGAAACACCAAAGUUAGAAAGGACGACUGCUUUUCUUUGAGGCUCUGUCACUGUUUGUUUCUGCAUAAAUCAGCGAGCAAAAAUUCAUCAAAUUUGAUGUCGAUUAAAAUUUCAGGUUUUUGUUUUAGGUGAAGAGGAGCAAGAUUCAAACUUUUUCACCGAGUGGAGGUAAGUACCCUACCACUUGAUUUGCCCCACAAUUGUUUAUUUUUGUUUUUUGAUUUUUUGGGAAAAAGGAAUAUUAUGAUGUGAAAUAACCCUAAAUUAUGGAGACUUCUAGGUGAAAGACUGAUAAAUUUAUUGAAACGGGUUGAAGUUUCACCAUACAACUAAUUGACAAUAUGAGGAGUAACCUAACCUACUUAAUAUAAGAUUCAGUCUCAAUACUUACAAUUUUCACAUACAUCUUCCAUGUACUUUGUAUUAUUACUUGCACUAAUUUGAAAGCGGGACCCGUGAAGUAUCUGGUCAACGGCAGUGCAUUGAGGUCUUGGACGAAGACUCCGAUAGUGAUGCUAGGAUUCUGUCGGAUAGAUGAUUUCCGAGAGGUCUGAAUCGUCUCUCCAAGUUGGUGAGGCUGGAAUCUGGUAUGGAAUGAUGCCAAAGAAGUUGUCGUCGCUAAGAUCCAUUACAUAUGUAGAAGAUAAAUAAGUGUAGAAAAUGUAGAUAGACUUCAAAGCAUCAGUUGCACAACGGGGUCCAUACAAGGUUUUUGGAUUAUUCCUUUCCGACUUUGAUGACUUUAGAGACAGGGCAUCAAAGUUAUAGACAGUUCAUCAGCUUACUACUGAUCAAACAAAAUACUGAUCGCAUGUGCAAACCAAUAGUUGGGCCAAUCUGCAACUUUAGCGUUUUAAAUUCAUUCUUUCAAUUCGGGUAAAGACAAUCUAGUGCCCCAACUGAGGUUUUUAACUUUUUGAUGCAGGGCAUGCUUCAAUUGAGGUUUUAGAGACUGUUUAUUAGCUCACUACUAAUCGAACAUUGACAUUGACCACAUGUGCAAACCAAUAUAUAGUUGGGUUAACUUGAGACUUUAGCGUUUUAACAAAUUUAUUGUCCCAAUUAAGGAAGAGACAAUCUAGUGAGUCACUACUAAUGAACCGAGGUUUUCUAGGUUUUUGAUGUGAGACAUGGUUGGUUGAGGUUGAAAAUAAAAAUGUAAAUACUUGCAAAAAUCAAAUAUAACAAUUAAAACUCCCAUACUAUUGAAUCAUGCGUAGCAUAAAAGCCACACCGGUAAGACAUGUUUCAACUCGGGUUUUCAAAUCUUGCACUAAGAGAUAGUGAGCCCUGUUUUUCAAUUCAUAUUAAUUCACACGUCCCUUCUAUCGUUGUAGUUUUCACUAAAAAAGUAGGUUUAAAAGGUAGGUGGGUUUAAAUAUUUGUCCACAAUAUUUGAAAUUUGAAGUCUUUGCUUUCAUGUACACAAUAUAUUGACUGAAAAAUCAGUAGUAGUGAGUGAAAAUAGUUCACAUUAGAUGGCUUACAUACUUUUUUUUGGUAAAAAAGAAGGUUUUACAUACUUUGACAAUGAGUACCACAAUACUUGUAAUCACUAGACAGGUUUUUAGAUGCAAUCAAGUUAAGGAAAUUCGUGCAUAACGUAAAUAGGAGCCACUCAAUGAUAAUUUCUUGCAGUUUUCACUUUUAUUAAAAAAUGAAACUUAAUAUAGAUUUGGUAACUGUUUUUAGUUUUCAAAAAAUGAAAAUUGACAGUUAAUUUUUUGAGUUUUCAAAAUGGGAGGUGCAUAUUGUCACUUAGUAUUACGGUUUAAUGGUAUUUCUUUUCAUUUGUAAGUGAAACGUUUUAGAUUCAAUUCUCGCCAAAGGAGAAUUUGAAUCACAGUAUUACUACCACUAAACCGUAUUACUAAGUGACUAUUUCUAGCUAUUAGAUUGAAUAAACCAAACAGAAUCCACAACCAUAGUUAAACAUGAGUAUGUAAAUAGCUAAAUUGUGUGCAAUUGUCAAUUUCCUUCAAAAUUUGGCUUUUUUUUACUUGGUUUUUUUAAUUUAACUUUUUUGAAAAUUGAAAUGAUUAUCAAACAAGUAAGAAAAAAGUUUUCCAAAUUAAGAAGAGAAAUUAGAAAAUUUAACUGUCAGAUGACAACAACCAUUUCAACUGGAUUAGUCGAUACAGAUUAGAAUAAUUGUAAAAUCAUAUCAACAACUAUUUCAUUCAAAAUUCGUAACUGUGACUUUUGAUUUUUCAAUGAAUUUAUUUACCUAAACAAAAAGCAAUUACUGUUAAAUGCAGUAGUACUAGUACUUAAAUGGCCUACCAUGUUGAUUUGUUUCACAAUUAUAUGUCAGUCUUUUUCUUGACUUUAAAAGCCAAGCCACAAUAAUUAACUAGAAGAAAGCUUCACGCAAGAAUAUUGAGGCAUUAUCUUCAGGACUGUAGAGUCACACAUAUUGCUUCUUUUCUAUGUUGAUAUUUUCCUGAAUUCAAAGGUUUAUUAAAGUCUUAGAAUCUUGAUCGAGGUUAAAUUCAAAGGUUUAUUAAAGUCUUGAAUCAUGAUCGAGGUUUUAUACACUUUUGGAACGCAUGUUGAGAGUAUGAAUUUUACAUCGAGAAAAGAAGAGAUUUUGUAUGUGUUUAUAAGUAAUUAGACUACUCAUUAUAUUACCAAUUGGUUUUUAUAGUGAAACCUCAACUUUUUUUCAUAGCAUUCAGACAAGUUGUCUCUCGUGUGAAGCCCAACAACCGCAUGUACUCCGCAUCACCUGAUUUGUGCUAUUCACGUGUUAGACUUGAUAAUUCGCCACAUGUAGAAGAAGCUGAGAGUAUGAAUCCCACAUCGAGAAAAGAAUAGACUUUGCAUGUACUUAUAAGUAAUUAAACUAUUACCAAUUUAUUAUAGAACCUCAACUUUCUCCGAUGCAUGUCAUGUUAAUAAAUCACAAUACGACUAUUGGAAAAGAUACAAAAUCUCUGAAAAAUCUCCCAUGGAUAGGAAGGAGCUAUACCACAGGAUGUUCUGUUUCUUCGCCCUAAAGAAGUACGUACUCAAGUAGAGAUUUUGUACACUGUCUAGGAAUUGGAACUGCGUAAAUCUGCGGAUCUUAAACAUGAAAGAGCCAUAAACUCCGAAAAAUCCUGUGGUGAACCCAGGUGCGAAAGUGAAAUGAAACCAUGGAAUUGGAUUCCCAUUGUCCAAAUCUUGGCUGUUCUUAUAUCUGCACCAAGGCCAUCGCCAGUGCACCGCAAAGUUUCAAAUUCACCUCGAAGGCGGACGAAUUGAACCGCAAAGUACUGUAUGAUACAUUAAAAAUGACAAGAAAUUAAGGGUCUGUUUGGUAUCAUUUUUGAAAUUUUUUAUAAUUUCUCAAAACAUUUUUAAGAAUUUUUCUUGAAAAUAAUUUUCUUUAAGAUUCAAAAACUUGUUUGGUAUACGAUUUAAAAAUUUUAAAUCUUACAACUUAAAUUAGACAAAAAGAUCCAAAAGAGAGAAUCAAGAGAUAAAGAGGAGAGAAGAGGAAAGAAAGUAAGAGAUGAUUGGAGGAAAGAGAAAAAAGUGAGAGGAUCAGAGGAGAUAAGAAAGAGGACCAAGAAAAUGAAAAAAACGGAUUGAAUAAGAGACGAAAAAAGGAUUAAAAAAAAAAGAGAAUAGGGGAAGAGAGAAAGAAGAAAAGAGAGAGAUAGAUUUGGAGUGAGAGAGGAGGGGGAGAGAAAAGAAAUGAGUGAAUUUAAGUUUAAAAACUUUUUUAUCUUUGUAAAGAAUCAACUAUAUUUUUGAGUUAGUUUUGAAUUCAGUUUUUGAAAAUAGUCAUAUCAAACAAGUUUUUAAGGCCUAAAAUUUGAAAAUUACUUUUGAAUUUAAAAAAUUGGAUUCAAGUAGAGUACCAAACAAAAUCUAAGAACCGCCAAUGAUGCUGGGGUUUCUCCGGACAGAUGAUAUAUGGAGAGGACCAGUACUGUCUCCAAGUUUUGAGGCCAGAUAUAUAUUUGGUCUGGAAUGUAAUAGCAUUAAAUUAAUCCAACGCGUGGAGAAGCUGCAGUGGGCCAAUCUCAAUAAAUAUUUUGCCGGUAAAUCUAUUGUUCUGAAAGAAUAGCACUUCUGCAAGUUCUUCGCAAUAUAGUUUUGAUGUAAAGAAUUUGUACUAACAAUGAUGAUCAUGGGUAGUUCAAGACAUGUGGUCUGUUGAGCUUAAGUGAUUCCAGAUACCAACACUGGCAGCCUGCAAAGUUCCUUUAGAAAUCCUCCUGAAAUUCGGUCAAGAAGGGUCCCCAACCAACUCGGAAAUUGAGACUGAAAGAGGAUUUUACAAAUUCUAAUUGCUGAAAUAAUCAAAAUCACAUAACCACGACAUAUAUCAAUCAGAUAUGAUGACAUUAUGGAUCAAAUAUUUAAGAUAUAUUGAAAAAAUUCCGAAAAGUGAUCAUUAUGACAAUUGAGAUUUUGUAUUUUCAUCGUUUUUGUCAAUUUUCCUAGAAGUAAAGCUAUGGACAAAGAAGCAUGAGAAAGAUGAAAUUAUAUUACGCACAAUUUUGUCGGGCAAUGUUCGUCGCACAAACAUCAUCACUACAGAGUUUACUGAUGAAUAGUACAAAGUCGUCGAGCAAAUUGUGUUUACAUGAUGAAAUAAUUUCGUCGAGGAAAGGACGUUGACCUUUGCCCGACGAACCGUAAACCCAAAAUUAUAAAAUAUACGUACCUUUGCACAACGAACAAUUCAAUGAAACUUGUAUUAUUCGUUGCACAAUGGUUGCUAUAUUUACGCGCCAAGUUUUUUCCUUGGUGCAAAAACUUUACCCGAUGGAUGGAACUUUGCCCGUCGAACACUGUUCGUCAAGCAAAAGCCUCUAAAUAACCAAAACGUUACUGUUUUUGGCAACCGAAUAUAUGAAUUCCAACGAUUAAAGUUUAUUUACAAAAUUCCUUUCAUCGGGAAAUGGUAAUUUCUAGCUGUGAAAGUGAGAGGGGCUUUAUGCCAUCAAAUUAUUAUAGGCAAAACUAUUAACAAACAAUAAUCGUAUUUCUUAAUUUGCCAUCGCGGGGAACUUAUCUUUAACAUUGCUCAGAAAUAGGAAAUAUGCAUCUCUCCAAGACCUAAUAAACACUAAAGAAUCAGACUCCCCAAAAUCCGAAAAUAAAACCAACAAUCACGGAAAAAUGAAACCAGUCUGCACAUCUUUAGUGUCAUUACUUGUAUACAUCUGUUGGCAUUUGUUUGGAAGUGGGGCACCACAAAGUCCUUGGUUCCCCUCGAAUGCAGUGGCAUUCAAACCUUCGAUUUGAGUGCCGGAUGGUAUUAUUCCUUUGUUGUAAGCAACCGUAAAUGAAGACAAGAAGUGGAGACUUGAUAUUGAUGCUGGGAUUUCUCCUGACAGAUUUAGUGAUGGUUUGAAUUCUUGUGAGCGGUGUUUGAGCUUUGAAGUCUUUGCUUUCCACUUAAACAGAAAAGAAACAAACCUGCAGAACAUGGGUUGGCAACGUAUUACAAGGUUUACAUUGACUUUGGGUGCGUGCUUUCGGAAAAGUGAUGUGGGCAUAUUUUCAUACAUUAUUAUCGUAUUUUCUUUUUUGGAAUUUGUGUAAAUACAUUAAAUUUAAUUGUUUUAAUAUAUAGACUUCAAUAUCGGAGUUGUGAGAAAAGGAUGAAGAUCGGAUCAUUUUUGUGGGGAUUUUAUGGAUUCUCAAAUCUUAAUCAUUUAUCGUACAUCGUACGGUCAGUUUACUAUUUGUGUUUAAUUUAGAUAAAAAAAUUCAAAUGAUUAUGAUCAUACAAUAUACGAUGAAUGACUAAGAUGCGAGGAUCCCUAGGAUCCCCACCAUUGGAUCCAGAUGGGAUCCAAAUCCGUGCGAAAAAGAAGUGGAAAAUGAUGAUUUCAGGUGUCUAAAGUAAUUCAGCUGAGCAUGAGGCUAAUUAAUUGUGCCAAGACAUAUGUAUUACAAUAUGAAGAUGAGACCACAAAGAUUUUUUUUUUUCAUCAACGACUACAAAGGUUUUGAAUAUACAUGGAAAUGCUAUUCAAUGGAUUUAAGAAGAGACAUGAUUAUUUGUUCUUAUUAUUUCCGUUUAUUUUCUUUUUAUUUAACAAAGACUUAAAGUCCAAUAGUUAGAAUUUUAGUGGGUUUUUCAUUAGAAUUUAGUAGGAUUUAUUUUUAUUGCCGUGGGUUAUAAAAAGAGAUAUUCUUUGUGGUAACGGGAUUCAACCAAAUCAAAAUUAUCACAUUGGAGAAGGUUGCGGCAAGGAGGAAGAAAGCUAGAUUUUUUUUUAUAUAUCUUUUCUAGGGCUUCGAUAUAGUUUGAUCAUGAAUACUUAAUUACCUUGUGUCAUUGUUUUAUCAAAUUUUUAUUUCAUAUUGAAUAUCUUUCGCUAUUCGUAAUGCGCUCAAUUUUUAUUUGAGAAAAUUGUAGUAAACGUCACUCAACUUUAAUCCAAUUGGAGUAACGGUCCUUGAACUAAAAAUCCAUGACCAUUGAUCCCUUAACUCCUUAAAACGUGCCCCUAUGAUUGAUGGUCGAUACUAUACUAUAUAUUUUACCCUAAUCUUAGUAAUAAUUUAUUGGUUAUUAUGUGAAUUUUCUUACUUUGAAUUAUAUUCUAAUGUAGGACAUUCGACUUCCGUGGUGAUGAAAUGAAGGGCCAGCGCACAGCUUUCCCAGAUUGACGUUUCUAGACGUUUUGGGUAUUUUGGAGGUUAAGAUGACAUAUUUUGAAGAAGAUUUCUUCUGAGGAUUUGUAGGGGACGUCUCCACCUUUCAAAAGAGACCUUUUGGGACUAAAUCGGAGUUGAUUUGGUCAGUCAAAAGACUAAUUUUUCUGAGAAAUCCGAAUUUUAGUUCAAAUAGGAAACCUUUAAUUUCUGUUUUAUUAUUUUUAUUAUGUUUCCUAGUUUUAUUUUAAGACCUUUUAGGGUUUUAUUGUGUAGUAGUAUAAAUAAGGCUUUUUAGCCAUUAGGGUUUUUUAGAAUGCAAGAAGGAGAGGGGGAGAAGGCAUGCAUUAUUUUGGAGAACUUCAGACUUUUUACCUGCAAGGUGUUUUCAAUCCUUUUUCUAGUUAAUAUAUUUUAUUUUGUUUUAUGAUUGUUCAUAACUAAGUUCUUUUGCUAGGAUGAAGUCAUGAGCCUUAGCAUGAAUAUGUAAUUUUAUUAAUUUGCUUAUGAAUGAAUGCAUGCUUGCUUUGAAUUAUUAAUCAAUGCGAUUAAAACUAUCUAAUUGUCUUAGUGAUUCGUGACCAUUAGGGUUUUUAGACAAGUAAUUUGAUGCAAUUUUUGUUGGAACAUCACCCUGAAAUUGAGAAGGGCUUCUUGUGAUUAGUAAUUUUAAGUUCACUUAAGGCGAACAUCACACUCUUAAGGGUUGCAUGGUUUUUCAAAGGGUUUUCACAAAGCCUAAUAAGUCUUACAUGUUUAUAUUUGAUCUGAACAUCACAAACGGGCUGCAUGUUAGAUAUACGUUUUCACUUGAACAUCAUGAGGAAAAUAUGCAUUAUGAAAACCUUACCUUCAAAGCAUGUGUGUUGAAAUUCAUAAGUAAUUGGUAAAUUUGCGUAGGAUUGUUAAGGGGACGGUAGAACCCUAGGCUUUUACAAAUUGAUUUUCUUUUAAAUUGUUCUCUAGUUAAUUUCUUUAAUUGUUUUAUUUUAAAAUUCGUUUUUAUUAUAUUAAAUUCUAAAAUCAACAUUUUCCAACCUUUGUUUUAAAUAAUUAGCUAAGAAUUAGUUUAAAUACAAAUUAUUCAUUCAAUCCCUGUGGAAAACGACAUUGCUUGAGCCGCUAUAGUACGACAACCUUGCACUCUUGCAAGUAUUUUAAGUGUUUUUAUCUCUACUUUUGUAGGUGGUAAAAAUCCCUAUCAAUGAUCAUUUUCUUCAAUUCCUUUAGAACUCUCGUCAAAAUGAGUCACGUGCCACGCACAUGAGGCCGAAUCGAGGGGCAAAUAUGGUACACAAAAUGAGAAAAUUCUAACAAUGAUCCCUCAACUUUAACCCAACUGGAAAAAUGGUCUCUCAAUUUUAAUACAAGUUAUUGUUGUUUUGAUCACCAUCUAAGUUUUAGUUAAGUUGUUUUGAUGCAAGUUAGAGUAGAUGUCAUACUUAACUUGGGUUUAGCUUCUUGCAAUUGAUACCAUAAACACAGAUAUGCCAACUUGGGUUUAGCUUCUUGCAAUUGAUACCAUAAACACAGAUAUGCCAUGCAAUUAGGGUUUAUGUGAUUUUCAAGCACUUUCCAUAGAGAUUAAUGAGUUCUUACUUGUUUAAAUUCAUCUAGAUGCCAUAGAGGGUUAACAUAUUAAGAUACUUUUGAUGCAACCAAAUGCCAUGACUGUUGAUUAUUGGGAAACUACUUGAGCAUAACAUAUUAAGGGAAUUAAGUAGAAUUGGUUAUGGUGAAUUUGAAUGCCCUCUGUUGAUGCACAAAACCGGAGCGGUUUUGGAACAACGUAAAUCCGACCGUGAAUCUGCACAAACGCUCAAGAACACGAAGAACACAAAGAACACAAGGAUUUUAUCGUGGUUCACCCCAAUGUUUGGGCUACGUCCACACUGUAGUUGAUUCUGUUUCUCUGUAAUUGUAUGGAUACAAGUGUUUGAGAGGAAGUCCCCCAGAGAAAGAAGAGAAGGGAGAGGAGAGCCUCGGUGGUGUGAGGUCUCUCCUGAAUGUAAUGAGAGCUUCUCUUAGCCUUCUUAGGCUUGGCUCUUUUGCCCCCUUUUAGAAUGAGGGGAGGAGUCCCCUUUUAUAGAAUAAGGGGCUCCUCCUCUUUUACAAAGUAUGGGCUUUAGUGUGAGGCCCAAAUACAAGGCCCAAGGCCCAAAUAUACGAGGCCCUAAAUAUGGUAUAAACAGUAGUCCCCCAAGUCUUCAGUCAAGAGAGUCUUUUGGCUGGAGACUUGAAAUUCAGUCCAUGUGUGGGCCGAAGUAACUAAAUGUCGUCUAGAACUGAUGCUCGAUAUGAGGCGGUACCCAAUCUGAAAUGAUGCUCAACUAGAAGUAGCACAUGUUGUGAGGCCACUUUGCUUGUAGCUUAUGUUGCCUUGGUUGGCUUGGCUUGUGGCGUUUGAAGGUGAGGGAGUCCCUUUUAUAAAAUAAGGGCUCGCUCCUCAAUACAUAAAUGAUGGGCUAGAGUUGAUGCUCACGGCGAGGCGGUUGCUCAGCAGGCGGCGAUGCUCUCUAAUGAUGGUGAGGGAGUCUUUUUUAUAAACUAAGGGCUCGCUCCUCGAUACAUAAAUUUAGGAGUGAUGCUCGUGGCGAGGUGGUUGCUCAGCUGGCGGCAAUACUCUCUAAUGGUGGUGAGGGAGUCCCUUUUAUAAAAUAAGGGCUCGCUCCUCAAUACAUAAGUGAUGGGCUAAGUCCCCCAAGUAUUUUUCAUGAGGCCCAGUUGAGGCCCAAUAUAUGGUACAUAAUGUAGUCCCCCAAGUCUUCGGUCAAUAGAGUCUGUUGGCUGGAGACUUCAAAUUGAAUCCAUGUAUGGGCCGAAGUGGCGGUUGUUCGGAGGCGGUAUUUGUAUACCCUGCACUGAAGCUUUGUAGGUGAAGCUUUGCAAGUGAAGCUUUGAAGCUAGAGCUCUGUAAAUGAAGCUUUUGAAGCUGAUUGACAUGAGUGAUGCUCAUGAAUGUUUAUGUUGAUUGACAUGAGUGAUGCUCAUGGAUGUUGUUAUGAGUGAUGCUCAUGAAUGUUGACAUGAGUGAUGCUCAUGAAUGUUUAUAUAUGAUUGAUAUGAGUGAUGCUCAUGAAUGUCUAUGUAUGAAUGACAUGAGUAAUGCUCAUGUAUAAUUUGGAGUACUAGGCGUACUUUUGAUCACCUGGUUGGUGGCAUGAAGGAGAGUACGGGUUGUACAUUUCAUCACCUGGUUGGUGGCAUGAAUGGCUAGUUGCCAAAUUAGAGUACGAGUUGUACAUCUCAUCACCUGGUUGGUGGCAUGAAUGGCUAGUUGCCAAAUAGAGCACGGGUUGUACAUCUCAUCAUCUGGUUGGUGGCAUGAAUGGCUAGUUGCCAAAUGAUAUUAGAGUACGGGUUGUACAUUUCAUCACCUAGUUGGUGGCAUGAAUGGCUAGUUGCCAAAUGAUAUUAGAGUACGGGUUGUACAUUUCAUCACCUAGUUGGUGGUAAUAGCGGCGGGUUGCCGAAUAAUUUUUUUAGAAGUACUGGGCGUACUUUUGAUCACCUGGUUGGUGGCAUGAAGGAAAGUACGGGUUGUACAUUUCAUCACCUGGUUGGUGGCAUAAAUGGCUAGUUGCCAAAUUAGAGUACGGGUUGUACAUUUCAUCCCCUGGUUGGUGGCUUAAAUGGCUUAUGGGCCUUCGCUCUCCACCACAUGCCAGCCUUUUUUUUUAUUUUUUUUUUAUUUUUUAUUUUUUAUUUUUUUUAUUACUACCCUCUGAUGGGGUUUAUACAAAUGUUUCCGAAAGAUACGAAAAAUAGAUUACAUCAUUCAAAAAUAAGGAAAGUAAACCACAUCACUCUGAUGGGGUGUUUAUUCCUUGCUUUUGCAGUACGGGUCCUUGCUGUUGCUUGUGUUUUUCUACAACAUUCUCUCUGUUUCUGUCUUUGCGUUGCCAGAGAUUUGGCUUCCACUUGGUGACGUUGUUCCUUUCUGCUUUGGAAAGUAGACAGCUCCUGUUUGUAAAAGCAAGAAGAUACCGUUUGUAAAAGCAUCUUUUCCUUUUGCUUUUUUUUUUUUUCACUUUGUUUCCCACUACUUUGCUCUUUUGCUUUUUGUGCUGUCAUCUGCUGCUGGGGAUCUGAAAGUGUUAUGCAGUGGGCAUCUUCUCAAUGGGAGUGACAAAGCAUCAUCGUGGCCUUGUUGUGCCAUCAUCGUCACAGCAGUGCUUUACAGUAAUGGCUCUAGCUAAAGCAUCAAGGUCUUCAAGCAGUUUCCCAAUUCUGACCUCAUUCCAAGGAUCCCUGUAAUGCUCCCGCAAUAUAUAAUCCGUCGAAAAAUUGCACAGAAACUUGACCCGGACCUCUCCAGCCUGCGGCGGAGCCACCUGUACGUCUUCGAUCACCAAAGGCUUAUCGGGUUCCCAGGCCAUCGCUGCUUUGUUGGUGACGACUUGACCUUGGGUAACCAUGGAUUUGAAUCUACUUGUCGAGCUCCUGCCAUUUAUUGAGAAUCUGGGUGCAGCCUGACAAGGCUUCGGUCCUCAUGAAACCCAUAGCAUUGGCAAACCGGCUGUACGAAGCAAUACCAUUGUUGGCGGUGAGGAUGACACAUGCAUACCAUUAUUGGCGGUGAGGAUGAUCUUCCAUGGUUUGUUCACCAUUUUCUGAGGUUUGUGAAGCUCACUCACUGUGUGUUGAUCAUGGUGCGUACGGGAUUCGGCAAGGUCGCCUACUAUUUUCUUCACGGAGGCGGAUGAGGCCAUGGCUUGCCUUAGAAAAACCACUGGCCCAGGUGGAGGCCCGUUUUGAGCUUUAUCAGCACAUUUGUUUUCUCUUUCUCUAAAAGCUGUGUAGGUGAUUUCCGACACGGGAAGGGAGGAAGGAAGGGUUGCAGUGUGCGUUCAAGGAGAGUCCAAGAGAAGUAGAGAGAGAACUGCGGUGGGCUCACGGUAUCCGAAUGUCACCACUUUGCUGCUGCCUUUCCGUUGCUAUCGGCCGAGACGAGUGUGAACGUUGUUAUCUGGGCUCAUGGAUGGGACUCUCGCUGGGCAGAGAGGAACAAGGAGCAGCCGUCUGGACCUUGGGGGAGUCGACAGCAGCAGGGAGCGGAGAGCGUCUCUCUUGCUGCUCUCAUGAUCUCCGGCUGAGCCGCAAGUGGGAACUGCCGUGCCAUGCUCGGGUCGCUGCUGCUGGGACCCGGUUCUCCUCCGCUCGGGCCGGCUUGCUGCUUUAAAUCUGACGGGGGUAGGUGGCAUGGAUGGUGCUGGUGGCAGCUACUGGGUUUGCUGAAUCGGGUCAAUAACUGGGGAAGAGACAAUGGUUUCUUCACAAUCUGAGGAGAAUAAGCCAUUGUUGGAGUCGAUUCUUCUGUUAUCUUCCUUCUUUUCUUUUUUCAUUUGCUCUUUCUCUUUCAAUCUUUUGUAAUGAAGCUUUUCAGAACCUCUCUGACAAGUUACCAAUUUGACAAGGCUGUUUGUUUUUCUCCAUCUCUAGUUUUCAGAUCUAGGAAGUAGUAGUUGCAGAGAGAUUAAUUGUGAAUUAGAGAGAGAGAGAGAGAGAAAGAGAGAGAGUGAAGGGAGGAGACAGAGAUUUGGAUCUUUCUGGGUUUUUGUGAUUUUUCUGCUUUCUGGGUUUUGUAGAGAGAGAGAGAGAGAGAGAUAAGAAAGAGUUUGAGAGGUAGAGGCAGAUGCAGAGUCUGAAACCAGAGGCUCAAUGGAUCUGCUGGAGCACCAAUUCCUCCAGAGCACGGUGCUGAUCUUCCAACGACAGCGAGAAGUUACUCAAGUCGUCAAUCGCAAUCUGCAUCAGCUGCGCGUUCGAAGGCUUCUUCAGCUCGUCCAUGAGCUGCUUUAUCUCUAGCCGGCGGUCGUUUAGGUCGGCAGGAGACAAUCGCUCGACAUCUCGCGCCUUCUCUUUCAAUUGGACGGGAUCAGAGUGACCAAUGGCCCAUUGUGAUCGGAGUGGCCUAUGGCCCACUAUAACAUUCGCUCAAGAGAAGAGAAGCCACCGUCGGCGUCAAGGUCAGCGAUGGCGGUAUCGUCAUCCCGAGGCUGAGUCCGAGUCUAAGCCUGCGUCUCGUCUUCUGCACUGGACCACUAUACCCUUUCCGUAUUGUUAAUAUUUCGCUCCAAGGAACAACAAUCAUGGCACACUUUGCUAGGAGUAAGGUUUUGGGUUCUUGCAGAUUUUGCAGAUUCACGGUGGAGGUGAAAAAAUGAAAGAGAACCGACAUAGUUUUUCGUGUCGAUUCCCACAGACGGCGCCAAAUGUUGAUGCACAAAACCAGAGCGGUUUUGGAACAACGUAAAUCCGACCGUGAAUCUGCACAAACGCUCAAGAACACGAAGAACACAAAGAACACAAGGAUUUUAUCGUGGUUCACCCCAAUGUUUGGGCUACGUCCACACUGUAGUUGAUUCUGUUUCUCUGUAAUUGUAUGGAUACAAGUGUUUGAGAGGAAGUCCCCCAGAGAAAGAAGAGAAGGGAGAGGAGAGCCUCGGUGGUGUGAGGUCUCUCCUGAAUGUAAUGAGAGCUUCUCUUAGCCUUCUUAGGCUUGGCUCUUUUGCCCCCUUUUAGAAUGAGGGGAGGAGUCCCCUUUUAUAGAAUAAGGGGCUCCUCCUCUUUUACAAAGUAUGGGCUUUAGUGUGAGGCCCAAAUACAAGGCCCAAGGCCCAAAUAUACGAGGCCCUAAAUAUGGUAUAAACACCCUCGAUCUUAUUUUCUUAUGUUUUCAAUCUAUUAUUUCUAUGCAUUUUAUUUUCAAGCUUUGUUUUAUUUCAAUUUAAUUCAAAUAUCAUAUCUUUUCCGUUGAAGCUUCUCCAUUAUAUUAGUUUCAAUUUAGUUAGUAAGAAUUUUAGAAUCAAUUCGAUCUUUGUGGAAGGAUAUAUGUGCUUAUAUGCUAUACUAUCAUAUGAUUUGUAUAUUUGCGAGCACUAAAAUCCGAGACAUAAUGGGGUUAGUUUUGGUUGUCUAAUUUUCGCAAAAAAAAAAAAAAAAAAAACUAAAAACACGUUUGCCAUAAAAUAUGGUUGUUUGAUAAAAGUGCUUCGAGUAGAAAGUGUUAUGAACUAACAGAUGAAUAAUUAUAUAGUUAAAAAUAAGAACUAUAAGAACGUAUUACAUGGUUUAAAUGGACUUUGGGUUCGUGCUUUCAGAAAAGCUAAAAACACUUUUGUCGUAAAAAAUGGUUGUUUGAUAAAAGUGCUUCAAGGAGAAAGUGUUAUGAACUAACAGAUGAAUAAUUACAUAGUUAAAAAUAAGAAGUAUAAGUGACACGCCCCGACCCUGAUAUUCCCUGAAUACCAGGAUAGACACGUGUUGGCCGACACCCGAGAGUGACGAAAGCCAUUAAUUGAUACAAAAGCUAAGAAUAAGAAAUAAAUACGGAUUAUGAAUUUAAAAAGAAUGAAUUAACAAUUUAGGAACGUGUUCAGAGCAUACAACUAAACCUAGUCACUAACAAGAAUUAAGAUAAGAUUGAAUGAACAAGGAGUAGGUCCUACCCCGAGAAGACUCGAAGAUGCUGCUGCGGAAGUGCCUUGAUGCCGGGAUUCUAUGCCUCGUUUCUAAGACCUGAAUGGGGGCGCAAAAUAAGAGUGAGUGGACCAAGUUUAUAUACAUACAUAGUACGAAAACAGUUAUGAACAUACUAAUCCCCACAGUUAAGAUAAUGAAAACUACUAAAUAAUAAGUGAUAGGUUUCUCAAAACCUCUAGCAUGCCAUAAAAACAAUUCAUAUAUCCAUCUGCAAAUCAAUCUCAGAAAAUCAUAUCAUAAAUCAUCUCAGCAAUCAUAUCAGGAAGCAUAAUACAAGUUGUGCUGCUAGUGAGUGCACUGAAUAAUAAUACGCCCGGCCCAAUGCCUGCACCUCAGUCUCUGUGCCCGUAGCCAGAGAUAUCUCCCUCCCGGCCCAAUGCUUGUCUCCGUGUCCCUCAGCCUUUCGCUAGGGAUUAUUUCUCCCGGCCUCAAUGCCAACACCAGAUCCUCGCCCCAGGCGGCAUAGUGUUCACUAGGUACGCACAAAACAUAAUUCAUCUCUAAAAUACAACUUCGUAGCAUAAAUUCAUCGAUCCUCUAUACUACGAAGAGGUGUUCAACAAUCAUUUGAAACACAUUCUUAGCAUCCUAUCGUCAUCAAUCAGAUAGUCUACCAGAAUGAGGGUUCUAUAGAAAAUACAAUAUAAUGACAAUAGUUCAAAAUAUAUAUAAUCAAUCAUAAUUAAAUCAUCAUGCUUCCUGUAAGGUAUUCCUCAAAUCAAAUAAUUCUGCAAGGCAUGCUAUUAAAUUAUGCAAUUCUAUCAAUAAAACAUGCAAUUUUCGAAGGUGGUCCACUCACAGAUACUUCGAAGCAGCAGAAUUCUGUGGAAAAAGAUUAAGGAAGUCUCCACUAGCAACUUCACAUAAGCACGAAAAUAUACAAUUUAAUCAAACUACCCAAACGAUAGAAUUUUAGGAAAUGGAAAUGGGUCUUGGGUUGAGAAGGGUGGUUUGGGCUUAAACCCAAACCCACACUCACACACACGUACUGUACACACACACAGGGCCUGCACACACACACUGUGCAGCCCAAAACACACCCACACACUUCAUGCACAUGCACGGACACACACACACACACAACCCACACACAUGUACGCCAGCACACGUGUCACAUGCAUGCACAUCACACCAUACACAUCACACAACACACACACUGUACGGACACCAACAUGCCAAACACACACACACAGACAGCAUGCAUAUAUAUAUAUAAACACACACACACAGACAGCAUGCAUAUAUAUAUAUAGGGGUUUCUCCAUUUUAAUCCUUAAUAAAGAUUGAAAUUCAAUUAAAACCUUAUGUUAGAUUAUAUAUUCAUUAUAGUCCUUUGACUAAAUUUCCAUGUCAGCAUAAAUAUUAAAAUUUAUAUUUUCUUGUUUUUAAAUAUUUAAUGCGUUUUUUUGGUUCCUAUAAUGCCCCUAUUAAAUAUUUGAUUUUAAUUUGCUCCAUAUUUUUUGCAUUGAUUAUUGUCUGACUUUCUAAAAUGAUAAACAUAAUUCAAAAAAAUAUUAGUGAUACAUUACAAGAAUUAACAAAUACCUAAUUCAAAUUAUUCAUUAUCACCAUUCAAAGCCUAGAGGAAAUAUAAAUAGCCAAAUCAUAUAUUUUACAUAAUCGAAUGCACUUAAACCAUGUCCUAAUGUGCUUAAAUCAUAUAACCUAGUCGAAUGCACCUAAACCAUGGUACUUAUAUGAAUGCACCUAAAUUAUGGUACUUAUAUGAAUGCACCUAAACCAUUACCUAUGGUCUUGUAUAUGAAUGCACCUAAAUCAUGGUACCUAUAUGAAUGCACCUAAAUCAUAGUACCUAUAUGAAUGCACCUUAAUCAUUUAGGUACUAUCAAUUAGGUCUUAUCCAUUCGGUAUGGUCGGUUAGGUACUAUAUAGUGUAUGUCCGAUUAAUUUGGUACGGUCAAUUAAGUUGUGAUUUCACAUUCUAUUUUCUCAAUUUGUAUUUUUUUUCAUUUAUCUCUGGAUUCACCGUCAAUUUGGCAUCUAAAAGCCCAUUUUUCUUCUUUCUUCCGAAUACAACGAGAUUUUUGGUUUGUAAGUUUUAUGGCUUUUUUGUUUGAUCAUGGUUUCUGAGUUUUCUGGGUUCUUUGAUUGGAAUAACACAUGGAGAUUUAUGUUAUAACAAACAUGUUAAUUAUGGAUCUAGUUAAUUAAGCAUUCUUGAAAAAUUAAUUAUAUAUUUGUUUCUCUAAUUGGUUUUAAGAGAGUAAUAAGGGUAAAUAGGGAAACUAAAAAAUGCAAAUAAAUUUAUUAAAAAAUGAUUGAAUGUGACAUGGAAUUACUAUAAUCUGACAUGGAGGACUAUUUUUAGUUUUUAAUCUUACAUACGGUAUUAUUGAAAAAGUAAUCUUAUUUAGGGAUUAAAAUGAAGUUUUCUAAUAUAUAUAUACACCUACAUAUAAACACACACGCAUGCACAGCAUGCAUAUAUAUAUAUACACACAUAUAUAAACACACACACAGCAUGCAUAUAUAUAUAUAAUCCCACACACGCACAGCAUCAUGCAUAUAUAUAUAUAUAUAUAUAUAUAUAUAUAUAUAUAUAUAUAUAUAUAUAUAUAUAUAUAUAUAAUCACACACACGCACAGCAUGCAUACACACACAGCAUGCACCGUACCACACACACACUCUUGAACACACACACACACCUACGAACUCGCCGGAGUUCGUCGUCGGAACCGGGUUUUUGGCAUAGAGAAAAGGUAAGGUCAAAACCCUCGAUUUUGACCUUAAAACCAACACAAAUAACAUGAUUAACCCCAGAAAUUUGAAGAAAGAAAACAAGUAUCACCUGGGUUCGAAUUUGAGAGCUUCAAAGCUCACGGCAUCAAUGGUGAUUCACUUCACAAUGCCCCGAUGAUGCAUGCAAGACCAUAAUCUUGUUCCCCGAGUCCCAUAGGUUUAGAAUAUCAAGAUUUGGGGUUGAAUUGUGAAGAAAAUGGCACUGGUGGUGGCUGGGUUCUUUCUCGGCACCGGAGAGAAGGGAAAGAAAAGGAACGGAGAGAAUAAGAGGAAUGAAAACUGAGAGGGAAAAAUAGAGAACUUGGGGGAACAACAUUCAGGAGUGGGCCCCACGGUUCACCAUUUAAUAUAAAAAAACAAGUUUUUAAAUAGAAAUGGGUGAGGUGUUACAACUUACAAUAAGAACGUAGAAGGUUUACAUUGACUUUGGUUUCGUGCUUUUGGAAAUGUUAAAGAUACUUUUGUUGUAAAAAAUGGUUGUUUGAUAAAAAUGCUUCGAGUAGAAAGCAUUAUGAACUAACAAAUGACUAAUUACAAAAAAAGCAUAAGUGUUACGUGAAAGGGACUUAUAAGUCAAGGUUAUGUGCUCGAUUUUUCUUCUUUAAAUGCUAUUUAUAUAAAAAAAAAAAUGGCACAGUUAUGCGCAAUAAUUAUUUAGUAUAGAAUUUCGUAGACCUACCAUGCAUGAUUUAUUACACUACUAUGUAUUUUUUUUUCUUGAGAAAUGCUAAGGGACUCUUUCAAAAGUAGAAAUCUUCAUUGACUAUAUGUCACUUCAUGUUUUUUACACAAUAUUUUAUAAUGAUGACACAUAAAUUAACGUUAAACUAUGAGGUUACAAAAAGAAUUCCGUAGCAUUUCUCUUUUCUUUUUUUCUUUUUUCUUUUUGUCUUUUGACUUUGAAAUUUCAAUGAUAUAACAAUUAACACAAAGAAUGCUACAAUUUUGCAGAUGGACACAUGGCCACUUAUCUAAGUUGAUUCCCAAUGGUUCAAUUAAGUCAUGAGCAAGGGAAACCAAUGGAGAAUUUUAUUUUCUUUUUGGUUGGGUAAGAUGCUUUAUUCAAAUCAACGAUCCAAAUUGUUUAUUUAUUUAGUCUUCAUUUAUAAAUUAUUUUUGCAAAAAGAACAAUUUAAUUCGAAACUAUUUACCUUUUUGAUUGUUGUGAUGAAAUUUUAAUAUUUCUUAGAACAUAAUGUUCGUUAAUUUUUUUGAACUCAAUACAUGUCUCAAACAUUUUCGUCAUGCAUAAUAUUUUUUUAAGGAUGAUGAAACGCAACUUGAAAAAAUAGACAGUUCGAAUAGUUAAAGUUUGAUGUGAAAUAGGGCCCCGAACUAGUCUCUAUUUUUAUAAAAAAAAAUGGAGAUCUUUUUGAAUAAAGGGUCUAUUUAUAUAAAACAGAAGAAACACGCACAUCUCUUUAGUCCCAUAUCCAAAUGCAUAAAACGCUUCAUAUUCCUAUUCUUCUUUAUCCAAGUCAAGCUGAUCCGGCUUAAUCCAAGUCAAGCUAAAAAGGUGAACACAAACGGAGCCAAGAGUCUCUCAGGCUAAAAAGGUGAACAUAAAACGCUUCAUAUUGCUUCAGACCCUCAUUUCUUAAAAAAAAAAAAAGAAAACCCGGACAAAACCUCUCUCGACAUACCCUCGAGACACCAUCAAACUGUAGACCCAGACAUUUGUUUGCCAAAAAUUUCAACAGAAAAAAACUGUUACGUUGCAUGCAUGUAUUUGUAGACGAUCAAGCUGCAUUUACAUGUUUCUUCCUUAAUGUGCUAUCUUACGCUCACAAGAUAAUUGCAAGUUAAACUUUCCGAAAAGAGAUUGCAGAUAAACUGUUUGAUGAAAUCCCUGAACCGUUUUCUUUCCCAACAAUGGCCAAUUUGCAGGGUUAGGAACUUAGGUGCCACUGUAACACAUUUCCUGAACCGCCUCCUCUUGUGAAAGUUGGAGCUCUGUGAUUUUCGGCUUCUGCUCGUGCUGGGAUUCGUUCGACGACUUCCGACUUUCAACCCGUGCAAACUAGAAGUAGUAAGUGAAAACCCAACUUAAACUAGUUUUUUUUUUGUUUUACUUUCGGAAAAAAUACAAACCCUUCUUAAUGAUUCUGCAUAUACACAGAUUUUGAUGUGUAGUGUCAAAUUCAGUCAGGUCCCUUUUGUUAGUUUCAGUUUUCUUCUUAACCAAACUGAUUGGGCAAGUUUAUGAAAAUCGAGGAGAUUUUCACGGAUAGUUUGAUUCGUUAUGUGACAUACCUUUUUGUGGUUAAACAUAUAUGAUGUAUACUCUUAGGCUUUAUUCACGUGUAAAAUCUUCUAAUAUGUUAUGUUAUCAAACUUCCAUCAUAGUUUCAGCUGAUGAUUGAUAGUUUGGUCCAUAAUUUUGCUCUAAACAAAGAGAAAAUAAAUAAAAGAGCUAUUCAACUUACAAUCCGAUUAGGGAAUGAACAUCCGACUCUUAAAUAUAUAUUUUGCACUAGAGAAUUUCUGGCUCAAUCCUUACACAUUAAUAUUUCUUCAUCUUCUGGGCAGCGAGCAUUAACCGGAACAUUGAAGAGAGAGGUGGUUUGGAAGUUGUCAGGCACCAUGAAAGAGUUACUGUUGUUUGCAUAUUCUGACCGAUUUGUACUCUCAGUUUCACUAUCCGGUUUGCUGCUUUUAACUUCAUCCUUUUGAUUUGGGACUUGGACUUGGCCUUGGGCCUUCCUGUUAAGAAGAAGAACAAGAAUUAGGAAUUGUAAACAAAUCGAAAAAAGAAAAAAUGAAUACAAAAUCUAGAUUCUAGAACUCUACCUUCUUCUAAGCCUUCUCCACUUUAGAUGGAGCAUGAAUUGAAUAUUGUCAAGGAGUUGGAAAUAUGCAUAUCUCCACGUCCUCUUGAGAAGCAAAGGGCAACAGAAUCCCAAUAACCCUACAAAGAAACCAAGCACAACGGAUAAGCCAAACCAUAGACUUUGAUCCUCAUCAUCAUCCAAAUCCUGGUUGUUCUCAUUCUCAUCUGCAUCAUUGCCAUUACUUGGCAAGCACUGGUUUGAAAGUGGGGCACCGCAAAGUUUCGGAUUCCCUUCGAAUGCAGAGACACUGAAGCCUUGGAGCUGAGUGCCGGCUGGUAUUGGUCCUUCAAGAUUAUUGUAUGCAACAGUAAAUGUAGACAAGAAAUGGAGAUUUGAUAGUGAUGAUGGGAUUUCGCCUGACAGAUGGUUACUGUUGAGUUCUAAUCUCUCCAACUUUGGGAGGUUGGCUAUUUGGUCUGGAAUGUUGCCGGAGAAGUUGUUGAUGCUGAGAUCCAGUUGUUGAAGAAAUUGCAAUUGGCCAAUCUCAAAGGGUAUGCUGCCGCUUAAACUGUUGUUCCUGAGGGAGAUUACUCUUGGCAUGUUGUACAGAUACUUGUACUGUGAAGACAGCAUAGUUGCAUUAUUACCGCGUUGAAAGUAGACGGGCAACUCAAGAGAACAAUGGCAUGUUUCAUUUGCAGCCUUUUGCGAUACUAAUGCUUGUAGUCUGCAAAGCUCCUUUGGAAAUUCACCCGAAAUCAAGUUGUCAUUCAACAACAAAAAGAAAAGAUGCGGAAGAGUCCCCAACCAACCAGGUAUUGUGCCAGUGAGUCUGUUAAAAGACAAAUCCAGGACUUCCAGUUUCCCGAGCUUUGAAGUCCAUGUAGGUAUGUGCCCUGUCAUACGACACUUCAAUAAACUGAAAACACACAGAUUUUGUAACCCGGAAUCGACAGUUAUAUCCCCAUCUGGCAUUUCUUCACCUAUAAAAUUUUUUGAAAGAAGGAGCACCUUGAGACUUUUGAAACCCGUCAGUAUCUUCAUUGCCCCCGUGACAUUGGUGAGUCUGUUACGGGCAAGCGAGAGGAAGGUCAAGUUUUUCAAUUGAAGAAUCUCAGGUCGGAUUUGGCCCUCGAAAUCAUUUGUAGACAGUCGAAGUGCUUUGAGGGACUUACAUGAGUAGAGGCUUAUUGGCCAUGUGCCAGUGAGAUUAUUACUUAUACAAUCUAGUUUAGUAAGUUGAGCAAGUUUAGAGAAAUCGAGCACAGAGAUAUUCCCACUAAAAAAGUUGAAUCCCAGAUUUAUUUCAACAAGGUUUGUGCAAUUCAUCAAAGAUGGGGGCAGAUGACCUUGGAGAUUGUUGUAAUGAAGGCGCAUGAGCUUUAAUUUGGAGAGCUUCCCAACAUUCUCACUGAUGGGUCCGACAAGCCCAUUGGUAGAUAAUGAAAUUUCUUGAAGUGCCUGAGCAUUAUAGAUAUCAGCAGGAAGGGACCCUGAGAGAAUAUUGUCGCCAGCACGAAAGACCUCCAAUUUGGAACAGUUUCCUAGUCCGGGAGGAAUUGGGCCACUGAAAUUAUUGUGGGAGAAAUCCAAGACUCUAAGAAAGGUGGAACGAAGACAGAUAGAGGAAGGUAUUUGGCCUGUAAAAUGAUUAUUGUUGACAUUCAAACUGCUCAAAUUCCAGGCAUGCUGGAGGAAUGAAGAAGGAAUUGUAGAAUUGAAUUGAUUGUUCGACAAAUCCACUAUUUGAAUGUAACUAGAUGAUAGAAACAAAGGUAAUUCUCCGGAGAGAAGGUUAUAGCUCAAAUCAAGGAUUUCAAGGCAACUCGAGGACAAGAAGAGUCCAGCUUCCAGAGGACCGGAAAGCAGAUUGUGGGAGAGAUUGAGGUGCGAAAGAUGCGUGAGGCUUCCAAGAGAGCGAGAAAUGCUUCCUUGGAGCUGGUUAGCGGGCAACGAAACAUGUGUUACCCUACCAUCGGCAUCACAAGCAAUGCCUUCCCAGUGACAACAAUCACUGGAAGACCAAUUUAAACCAGAAGAAGAUAUAUCAAAAGAUGACAAAAGAGAGUUGUGAUCUGCCUCCUUGCAACCGUGGUUUAUAGAAAUGAAAGUAGACAACACAAAAAACAGGAAGAGGACUUCAUAAGGUAUUACGCGACUAGCUUCCGGCAUGAUGUUUUUCGCUAUGUCUGCACUGGAAUUAUAUUGCUCACAUCGUUUCGGGGGUAUAUAUACACUCCUUUGUUUGGAGCAAAGGAGGUAGAAAUUAACAAAGGAAAGAAGGUAAUUGGGCGAUGGUUCGAAUUCUUUGCGCAAUGUUUGAGUUUUGAUGUCUUUGCUUUGUACUUACAUGGACUUUGGCGUCGUGCUUUUUGGAGGAGCUAAAACAAAUUUUAGUUUUGAAAAUGAUUGUUGGCAAAAAAAUUUAAAAGGUCAGUUUUUUAGAGAUUUGACAGGAGAAAUGAUUCAUUUUUUUUAGUAAAGACGAUAUAUUAAUCAUAUACUGAUGACUAAAUACUGAUGAUUAAAAAAGAGAGUUAUGAACUAAUAAAUGAAUAAUUAUACAGUUAAUGUAGAAAGGGUUUUUCCUUAAUAAUCAAAUGUACAUGAGUACAAGAUUUAUACAAGAGGUUUUUUCCAUCACCAUCCUAUACUAAUGACAAUAUAAAUUACAAAUAGAUUACAUAACGGACAGUGGUUACAAAGAACUUGUAACAAAAUAAAGUACAAAUAAAUUACAUAACGGAAAGUGGUUACAACGAUCGCAUUCAAUAACCGUAAAUUAUGGGCGAUAAGGCGACGACUUCAAAGUCGUUGAAAUAUUUCUUUCAUCUCUUAGGAGGGUGUAUUCAAUUGAGAAUUUGAGAAACUUUAAUAGAUUUAUAAAUUCAUGGAUUUUUAUGGAGUUAAUUGAUUUGUAGAGAUUCCAUAUAAAAUUUUGAUUCAAUUCCCUCGAAAUCUCAUGUGGAGAGGUGAGAUUUGUGGAUGCUUAAAAUACACUACGAAAUCUCUCCAAUUCCCUCUAAUUCCUCAACUUUCUCAAAUUCUUUAAAAUCAAUUUCUAAUUGAAUACACCCGAAUUUUUAAGGAUUUUAAUAAACAAUCUUAAAAUUUCAAUUGAAUACACCUUGAAUUUCAGAUAAUCACUUAAAAUCCUAAUUGAUUACCCCUAAAUUUAUUGAAACAAUUAAAAUCCCUUAAAAUUCCAAUUGAAUACACCCCUUAGUCUUUGGUUUGACUGUAUCUUUCUCAGAUUUAAAGGAAACACCAAAGUUAGAAAGGACGACUCUGCUUUUGUUUGACUUUGAGGCUCUGUCUCUAUUUGUUUCUGCAUAAAUCUGCGAGAGAAAAUUCAUCGAAUUUCAUGUCGAUUAAAAUUUCAGGUUUUUGUUUUAGGUGAAGAGAAGAGCGAGAUUCGAACUUUUUUUCACUGAGUGAAGGUAAGUACCCUACCACUUGAGUUGUCCCACACAGUUGUUUAAUUUUGUUUUUUGAUUUUUUGGGAAAAAAGAAUAUUGUGAUGUGAAAUAACUGUAAAUUACGGAAACCUCUAGGUGCAAAGACUGGUAAAUUUAUUGAAAAAAAAGUUGAGAUUUCACCAUACAACCAAUUGACAAUAUGAGGAGUAACCUAAUUUACAUAAUGCGGGAUUCAGUCUCGACAUUUACAAUUUUCGCAUACAUCUUCCAUAUUCUAAGUUGUAUUAUUACUUGCACUAAUUCGAAAGCGGGGACCUGCGAAGUAUCGGGUUGCUCGCAACGGCAGUGCAUUGAGGUGAAGUCUCGGGUUGCCCUUGGGCCUCAACGGCAGUGCAUUGAGGCCUUGGACGAAGACUUCGAUAGUGUCACUAGCAUUCUGUCGGAUAUAUGAUUUCCUGAGAGGUCGGAAUCGUCUCUCCAAGUUGGUGAGGCUGGAAUCUGGUCAGGAAUGAUGCCAAAGAAGUUAGUCGUCGCUAAGAUCCAUUACAUACUUAAGAAAUAAGUGUAGAAAAUGUAGAUAGAAUUCAAAGCAUCAAUUGCACGAGAGGGUCCAUACAAGGUUUUCGGAUUAUUCCUUUCCGACUUUGAUGACUUUAGAGACAAGGCAUCAGCUUACUACUAAUGAAACAAAAUAAUGAUCAUAUGUGCAAACCAAUAAUUGAGCCAACCCGCGACUUUAGCGUUUUAAGUCCAUUGUUCCAAUUCGGGUAAAGACAAUAUGUCGGAUAGAUGAUUUCCUGAGAGGUCUGAAUUAUCUCUCCAAAUUGGUGAGGCUGGAAUCUCGUCUGGAAUGAUGCCAAAGAAGUUGUCGUCGCUAAGAUCCAUUACAUAUGUAGAAGAAAAAUAAGUGUAGAAAAUGUAGAUAGACUUCAAAGCAUCAGUUGCACAAGGGGGUCCAUACAAGGUUUUUGGAUUAUUCCUUUCCGACAUUGAUGACUUUAGAGACAGGGCAUCAAAAGUAAUCAAAGUUCGAGAAACGGUUCAUCAGCUUACUACUAAUCAAACAAAAUACUGAUUACAUGUGCAAACCAAUAGUUGGCAACUUUAGCGUUUUAGAUUUAUUGUUCCAAUUCGGGGUAAAGACAAUCUAGUGCCUCGACCGAGGUUUUUAACUUUUUGAUGCGGGGCAUGCUUCAAUUGAGCAGACAUGCUUCAACUAGGGUUUUCAAAUCUUGCACUAGGAGAUAGUGAACCCUGUUUUUCAAUUCAUAUUAAUUCAUAUGUCCCUUCGUAUCGCUAUAGUUUUCACUAAAAAAGUAAGUUUAAAAUGGUAGGUGGGUUUAGAUAUUUGUCCACAAUAUUUGAAAUUUCUUUGCUUUCAUGCAAUAUAUAGAAUGAAAAAUCAGUGGUAGAGAGUGAAAAUAGUUCACAUUAGAAGGUUUACGUACCUUUUUUUUUUAGGAAAACUAAUGAAAAUGGCCUAAAAACUUUGAGUUUUAAUGAUAAGGACAAAAUAAAGAAUAAAGUGAAUAGUACUAGGAUUGACUUUUUAGUGUAAAAAUGUGGUUUUUCGUUAAAGUGAACAGUACCGUGUGCUUUUCGUUAAAGUUCCCUUUUUUUUUUUGGUAAAAAAGAAGGUUUUACAUACUUUGACAAUGAGUCCCACAAUACUUGUAAUCACUAGACAGGUUUUUUUGAUGCAAUCAUCAUGCAAUCAAGUUAAGGAAAUUCGUGCAUAACGUAAAUAGGAGCCACUUAUAAUUUCGUUUUCAGUUUCAGUUUUCACUUUUAUUAAAAAAUGAAAAUUAAUAUAUAUUUGGUAACUGUUUUUAGUUUUCAAAAAAUGAAAAUUGACAGCUAAAUUUUUUUGAGUUUUCAAAAUGGGAGGUGAAUUGUCAUUUAGUACUACGGUUUAAUGAUAUUUUUGUUCACUUGUAAGUGAGACGUUUUAGAUUUGAUUCUUGCCAAAAGCGAAUUUGGAUCAUAGUAUUGCUACCACUAGACCGUAUUACAAAAUGGCUAUUUCUAGCUAUUAGAUUGAAUAAACCAAACAAAAUCCACAACAAUAAUUAAACAGGAGUAUGUAAAUAGCUAAGUUUGUGUACAAUUAUCAAUUUCCUUCAAAAUUUGGCCUUAUUUUUAACUUGCUUUUUUAUUUAACUUUUUUGAAAAUUGAAAUGAUUAUCAAACAAGUAAGAAAAAAGUUUUCCAAAUUAAGAAGAGAACUUAGAAAAUUUAACUAUUGGAUGACAACCACCAUUUCAACUGGAUUAGUCGAUUCAGAUUAGAAUUAAUUGUAAAAUCAUAUCAACUAAUAUUUCAUUCAGCAUUCGUAAUUGUGCACUUUUGAUUUUUCAAUGAAUUUAUUUAACUAAACAAAAGCAAUUACCGUUAAAUGCAGUAGUACUAGUACUUAGAUGGCCUACCAUGUUGAUUUGUUUCACAAUUGUAUGUUUUUUCUUGACUUUAAAAGCCAAGCCACAAUAAUUAACUAGAAGAAAGUUUCCCAGCAAGAAUGUUGAGGCAUUAUCUUCAGGGCUGUAGAGUCACACAUAUUGAUUCUUUUCUAUGUUGAUAAUUUCUCAAUGCAGAUUGAAUUCAAAGGUUUAUUAAAGUCUUGAAUCUUUGUCGAGGUCUUCGACACUUUUGGAACGCAUGUUGGGAGUAUGAAUUCCAUAUGUGGGAGAGGCUGAGAGUAUGAAUUCCACAUCGGAAAAAGAAUGGACUUUGCAUAUGCUUAUAAGUAAUUAAACUAUUACCAAUAUUGCCAAUUUAUGAUAGAACUUGAACUUACUCCGAUGCAUGUCACGUUAAUAAAUCACAAUACGAUUAUUGGAAAAGAUACAGAAACUCUAAAAAAUCUCCCAUGGAUAGGAAGGAGCUAUACCACAGGAUGUUCUGUUUCUUCGCCCUAAAGAAGUACUGAAGUAGAGAUUUGUACAUUGUCUAGGAAUUGGAACUGCGUAAAUCUUCGGAUCUUAAACAUGAAAGAGCCAUAAGCUCCGAAAAAUCGUGUGGUGAACCCAGGUGCGAAAGAGAAAUGAAACCAUGGAAUUGGAUUCCCAUUGUCCAAAUGACACGCCCCAACCCCGAUAUCCCCAAAUAUCAGGGAAAACACGUGCUAGCUGACACCCAAGGAUGACGAAGCCAUUUAAAACAUGCAUGCAAAUAAAGAAUAUAUGAUUAGAACGAUUAUACCAAAACAGGAACGUGUGUGAAAAGUAAAAUAGAGUGUGGAUAUCACACCCUUUUUUUUAUGGGAACUUUAACGAAAAGCUCCCGGUACUGUUCACUUUAAGGAAAAACCACAUUUUUACACUAAAAAGUCAAUCCUGGUACUAUUCACUUUACCCUUUAUUUUGUCCUUAUCAUUAAAACUCAAAGUUUCCAGACCCUUUUCAUUAGUUUUCUUUUUUUUUAUUCCUCACAAGCUUGGUAAACGCUGGAAUGCUUUGAGAGGAAGUGCCAUUCCGUUUCUUCCCAUUUCAGUCCGGUUUCGUAACCACGCCAUCGGUGAAAUGGGCCGUACUAAUGGAGGGUAUAAUUAUGGGUUGGCAACGUCUUAGAAGGUUUACAUUGACUUUGGGCUAGUGCUUUUAGAAGAGUUCAAAGCACUUCAAAAAUGUUGUUUAUUAAAAGUGCUUUGAAUAGAAAGUAGAAACACUAUUAAUCACUUUGGACAAUUUUUUAGAUGCAAUCAAGUUAAGGAAUUUCGAUUAAAUAGGAGAGUUAUGAACUAACAGAUGAAUAAUUAUAUAGUUAAGAAUAAGUAGAAAUGAGAUGAUCAUUAAUUUAUUUAUUUAUCAGAAAAUUCUUUAUGAUUUAACAGUGUGCAAAAUUACGUACUUGAUUUUUUCUCUUUAUAUAUCUUUUGUAUAAAAAUAAAUGAUACAGUUACGCGCAAUAUUAAUAUAAACUAACGUAAAAUCUACCAUGCUUGACCUAUUUCCCUACAAUAUUUUUUUUUUUCUGUGUAUUUGACUUCAAAAUUGCAAAGUAUAGUCAUUAUCAUGAAGAAUGCUUGAGAUUUUGGACAUUGACGUGCCAACUUAUCGAUGUUGAUUUUGUUCUUCUAAGCAGAUUGGACUCAAUGGUUUACUUAAGUCAUGAUCAAAGGAAAUUAAUGGAGCAUUUUUUUUCCUUGGGUAAGAUGCUUUAUAUAAAACACCAUGAUACAAUACGAAACACGAUCGAAACAGUCAAUCUAAAAUUCAAGUGGCCAAAACAGAAAACAAAAGCGUCAUCUUUUUUAAAUGUAGACUGGUUGUGGGUGUCACUCUACAUUGACUUUCAAUAAUGCAAACAGUCUAUUUUUCAAUCUUCUUUUAUAGUUUACUGUUGCAAAAACACACAAAAAAAAAUCAAUUAUUCGAAACUAUUUGCCGAUUUGAUUGUCAUAAUGAAAUUUUAAUAUUUCUUAUAACAUAGUGUUCGUCAAUUUAUUUGAACUCAAUUAGAUGUUUCAAACAUUUUCGCUACUUGAACACAAACGGAGCCAAAGUCUCUCUAGAUCAGUUGUGAGCCAGGCCUACUGCAUUAGACCACAUUGAAAAGAAAAAAAAGAAAAAAAAAAUCCGGAAGAAAACCUCUUUUGACAUAACCUCGAGACACCAUCAAACUGUAGACCCAGACAAUUGUUUGCCAAAAAUUUCAACAGAAAAGACUGGUACGUUGCAUGCAUGUGUUUGUAGACAAUGAAGCUGCAUUUACAUGUUUCUUCCUUAAUGUGCUAUCUUACUCUCACAAGACAAUUGCAAUUUUAAACUUUCUGAAAAGAGAUUGCAGAUAAACUGUUUGAUGAAAUUCUUGAACCGUUUUCUUUUGCCUUUUUUUUUUUUUUUUUUUUUUUUCAGAUUCCCAGAUUGAUUUCAUGUUUCCAACAAUGGCCAAUUUGCAGGGUUAGGAACUUAGGUGCCUAACCCUUGCGAAAGUUGGAGCUCUGUGAUUUUCGGCUUCUGCUCGUGUUGGGAUUCGUUCAACAACUUCCGACUUUCAACCAGUGCAAACUAGAAGAAGUAAGUGAAAACCCAACUUGCACUAGUUUUUUUGUUUUACUUUCGGAAAAAAUACAAACCCUUGUCAAUGAUUCUGCAUAUACACAGAUUUUGAUUUGUAGUAUCAAAUUCAAUCAGGAUCCUUUUGUUAGUUUCAGUUUUCUUCUUAACCAAACUGAUUGCGCAAGUUUAUGAAAAUCGAGGAGAUUUUCACGGAUAGUUUGAUUCGUUAUGUGACAUACCUUUUUGUGGUUAAAGAUAUCUGAUGUAUACGCUUAGGCUUUAUUCACGUUUAAAAUCAUCUAAUAAGUUACAUUAUCAAACUUCCAUCGUGAUUUCAGCUGAUGAUUGAUAGUUUGGUCCAUAAUUUUUGUCUAAACAAAGAGAGAAAAUAAAUAAAAGAGCUAUUCAACUUACAAUCCGAUUAGGGAAUGAACAUCCUACUCUUAAAUAGGUAUUUUGCACUAGAGAAUUUACUAGCUCACUCUUAAAUAGGUAUUUUGCACUAGAGAAUUUACUAGCUCAAUCCGUACACACCAAUAUUUCUUCAUCGUCUGGGCAGCAAGCUUUAACUGGAACAUUGACGAGAGAGGUGGUUUGGAAGUUGUCAGGGACCAUGAAAGAGUUACUGUUGUUUGCAUAUGCUGACCGAUUUGUACUCUCGGUUUCACUAUCCGGUUUGCUGCUUUUAACUUCGUCCUUUUGAUUUGGAACUUGGACUUGGCUUUGGGCUUUCCUGUUAAGAACAAGAACAAGAACUAGGAAUUGUAAACAAAUCGAAAAAAGAAAAAUGAACAGAGUCUAGAUUCUAGAACUCUACCUUCUUCUAAGCCUUCUCCACUUCAGAUAGAGCGUUAAUUGAAUAUUGUCAAGGAGUUGGAAAUAGGCAUAUCUCCACGUCCUCUUGAGAAGCAAAGGGCAAAUGAAUCCCAAAUACCCUACAAAGAAACCAAGCACAACGGAUAACUCAAACCAUAGACUUUGAUCCUCAUCAUUGUCCAAAUCCUGGUUGUUCUCAUUAUCAUCUGCAUCAUUGCCAUUACUUGGGAAGCACUGGUUUGAAAGUGGGGCACCGCAAAGUUUCGGAUUCCCUUCGAAUGCAGAGACACUGAAGCCUUGGAGCUGAGUGCCGGCUGGUAUUGGUCCUUCAAGAUUAUUGUAUGCAACAGUAAAUGUAGACAAGAAAUGGAGAUUUGAUAGUGAUGAUGGGAUUUCGCCUGACAGACGGUUACUGUUGAGUUCUAAUCUCUCCAACUUUGUGAGGCUGGCUAUUUGGUCUGGAAUGUUGCCGGAGAAGUUGUUGAUGCUUAGAUCCAGUUGUUGAAGAAAUUGCAAUUGGCCAAUCUCAAAGGGUAUGCUGCCGCUUAAACUGUUGUUCCUGAGGGAGAUUACUCUUGGCAUGUUGGGCAGAUAUUUGUACUGUGAAGCCAGCACAGUUGCAUUAUUACCGCGUUGAAAGUAGACGGGCAGCUCAAGAGAACAAUGGCCUGUUUCAUUCACAGCCUUUUGCGAUACUAAUGCUUGUAGUCUGCAAAGCUCCUUUGGAAAUUCACCCGAAAUCAAGUUGUCAUUCAACACAAAAAGAAAAGAUGCGGAAGAGUCCCCAACCAACCAGGUAUUGUGCCAGUGAGUCUGUUAAAAGACAAAUCCAGGACUUCCAGUUUCCCGAGCUUUGAAAUCCAUGCAGGUAUGUGUCCUGUCAUAUGACACAUAAGUAAACUGAAAACACACAGAUUUUGUAACCCGGAAUCAACAGUUAUAUCCCCAUCUGGCAUUUCUUCACCUUUAAAAUUUUUUGCAAGAAGGAGCACCUUGAGAGUUUUGAAACCCGUCAGUAUCUUCAUUGCCCCCGUGACAUUGGUGAGUCUGUUACGAGAAAGUGAGAGGAAGGUCAAGUUUUUCAAUUGAAGAAUCUCAGGUUGGAUUUGGCCCUCGAAAUCAUUUGUAGCCAGUCGAAGUGCUUUGAGGGACUUGCAUGAGUAGAGGCUUAUUGGCAAGGUCCCAGUGAGAUUAUUACUUAUACAAUCUAGUUUACUAAGUUGAGUAAGUUUAGAGAAAUUGAGCGCCGAGAUAUUCCCACUAAAACGGUUGAAUCCCAGAUUUAUUUCAACAAGGUUUGUGCAAUUCAUCAGAGAUGAGGGCAGAUGACCUUCGAGAUUGUUGUAUUGAAGGCGCAUGAGCUUUAAUUUGGAGAGCUUCCCAACAUUCUUACUGAUGGGUCCCACAAGCCCAUUGGUAGAUAAUGAAAUUUCUUGAAGUGCCUGAGCAUUGUAGAUAUCAGUAGGGAGGGAUCCUGAGAGAGUAUUGUCGCCAGCACGAAAGACCUCCAACUCGGAACAGUUUCCAAGUCCGGGAGGAAUUGCGCCACUGAAAUUAUUGUGGGAGAAAUCCAAGACUCUAAGCGAGGAUGAACGAAGACAGGUAGAGGAAGGUAUUUGACCUGUAAAAUGAUUAUUGCUGACAUUCAAACUGCUCAAAUUCCAGGCAUGCUGGAGGAAUGAAGAUGGAAUUGUUCUGUUGAAUUGAUUGCUUGAAAAAUCAACUAUUUGGAUGUAACUUGAUGAUAAAGACAUUGGUAUUUCUCCGGAGAAAAGGUUAUAGCUCAAAUCAAGAAUCUCAAGGCGACUCAAGGACAAGAACAUCCCGGCUUCAAGAGAGCCGGAAAGCAGAUUGUGGGAGAGAUUGAGGUGCGAAAGAAGCUUAAGGUUUCCAAGUGAUGAAGGAAAAGUACCUCCUGUGAGGCCCUUGGAUGGCAACCGCAAUUGGAUGAUCCAACCGUUCUGAUUACAUGUGUUGCCUUCCCACUGGCAACAAUCAACUGAAGCAGUCCAGUUCAAUGCCGGGGAAGACAGAGAGCUCGCAAAGGACUUGAGGGCGCUGCGUUCGGUUAGAUCACAUGCAUGUAUUGUGAAUAAAAUGGAAGAAAACAAGAGGAUGAGAAGGAAGCCAUGAGAGAAUGGAUGAUCCAUCUCAGGUUCAGAUUACUCACAGGUUUUCUUCUGCACGCGUAGAUAGGUAAGCAUAUGUGUCUGAAUCUCCAGAGUAUAUACACAUCUUCCGCAUGACUUCAAAGUCAUGACAAGAAAUUCCAUGUUGGUAAGACUCAUGACUUGAAAGUCGUUGAAACUUGAAAAAUUUUUCAAUCUCUUAGUCUUUGGUUUGACUUUAGGCUGUAGCUUUUUUAGAUUUAAUGGAAACACCAAAAUUAGAAAGGACGACUCUGCUUUUCUUUGAGGCUCUGUCACUGUUUGUUUCUGCAAAAAUUCAUCGAAUUUGAUGUCGUUUAAAAUUUCAGGUUUUUGUUUUAGGUGAAGAGAAGAGCAAGAUUCAAACUUUUUUUCACUGAGUGGAGGUAAGUACCCUACCACUUCAGUUGCCCCACAAUUGUUUAUUUUUGUUUUUUGAUUUGUUGGGAAAAAGGAAUAUUGUGAUGUGAAAUAACCCUAAAUUACGGGACUUCUAGGUGCAAAGACUGGUAAAUUUAUUGAAAAAUGUUAAGGUUUCACCAUACAACUAAUUUACAAUAUGAGGAGUAACCUAACUUACUUAAUGUGAGAUUCAGUCUCAAUACUUACAAUUUUCGCAUACAUCUUCCAUGUACUUAGUUGUAUUAUUACUUGCACUAAUUUGAAAGUGGGACCCGCAAAGUAUCGGGUUGUCCUCAACGGCAGUGCAUUAAGUCUCCAGUUGCCCUCAACGGCAGUGCAUUGAGGCCUUGGUCGAAGACUCCGAUAGUGACGCUAGGAUUCUGUCGGAUAGAUGAUUUCCUGAGAGGUCUGAAUCGUCUCUCCAAGUUGGUGAGGCUGGAAUCUCGUCUGGAAUGAUGCCAAAGAAGUUGCCGUCGCUAAGAUCCAUUACAUAUGUAGAAGAGAAAUAAGUGUAGAAAAUGUAGAUAGACUUCAAAGCAUCGGUUGCACAAGCGGGUCCAUACAAGGUUUUGGAUUAUUCCUUUCCGACUUUGAUGACUUUAGAGACAGGGCAUCAAAAGUAAUCAAAGUUCGAGAAACGGUUCAUCAGCUUAUUACUAAUCAAACAAAAAAUUGAUUACAUGUGCAAACCAAUAGUUGGGCCAAUCCGCGACUUUAGCGUUUUAGAUUUAUUGUUCCAAUUCGGGGUAAAGACAAUCUAGUGCCUCAACCGAGGUUUUUAACGUUUUGAUGCGGGGCUUGCUUCAAUUGAGAAGACAUGCUUCAACUAGGGUUUUCAAAUCUUGCAGUAGGAGAUAGUGAGCCCUGUUUUUCAAUUUAUAUUAAUUCAUACGUCCCUUCGUAUCGCUAUAGUUUUCACUAAAAAAAGUAGGUUUAAAAAGGUAGGUGGGUUUAGAUAUUUGUCCACAAAUUUGAAAUUUCUUUGCUUUCAUGUACUCAAUAUAUAGAAUGAAAAAUCAGUAGUAGUGAGUGAAAAUAGUUCACAUUAGAAGGUAUACGUACUUUUUGUUUUUUGGUAAAAAAGAAGGUUUUACAUACUUUGACAAUCAGUCCCACAAUACUUGUAAUCACUAGACAGGUUUUUUCAUGCAAUCAUGCAAUCAAGUUAAGGAAAUUCGUGCAUAAUGUAAAUAGGAGCCACUUAUAAUUUCGUUUUCAGUUUCAGUUUUCACUUUUAUUAAAAAAUGAAAAUUAAUAUAUAUUUGGUAACUGUUUUUAGUUUUCAAAAAAUGAAAAUUGACAGCUAAAUUUUUUUGAGUUUUCAAAAUGGGAGGUGAAUUGUCACUUAGUACUACGGUUUAAUGAUAUUUUUGUUCACUUGUAAGUGAGACGUUUUAGGUUUGAUUCUUGCCAAAAGUGAAUUUGGAUCACAAUAUUGCUACCACUAUACUGUAUUACUAAGUGGCUAUUUCUAGCUAUUAGAUUGAAUAAACCAAACAGAAUCCAUGACUAUAAUUAAACAGGAGUAUGUAAAUAGCUAAGUUUGUGUGCGAUUAUCAAUUUCCUUCAAAAUUUGGCCUUAUUUUUAACUUUCUUUUUUAUUUAACUUUUUUGAAAAUUGAAAUGAUUAUCAAACAAGUAAGAAAAAAGUUUUCCAAAUUAAGAAGAGAACUUAGAAAAUUUAACUAUUGGAUGACAACCACCAUUUCAACUGGAUUAGUCGAUUCAGAUUAGAAUUAAUUGUAAAAUCUUAUCAACAACUAUUUCAUUCAGCAUUCGUAAUUGUGCACUUUUGAUUUUUCAAUGAAUUUAUUUACCUAAACAAAAGCAAUUACCGUUAAAUGCAGUAGUACUAGUACUUAGAUGGCCUACCAUGUUGAUUUGUUUCACAAUUGUAUAUGUUUUUUUCUUGAUUUUAAAAGCCAAGCCACAAUAAUUAACUAGAAGAAAGUUUCCCAGCAAGAAUGUUAGAGGCAUUAUCUUCAGGACUGUAGAGUCACACAUAUUGAUUCUUUUCUAUGUUGAUAAUUUCUCACUGCAGAUUGAAUUCAAAGGUUUAUUAAAGUCUUGAAUCUUUGUCGAGAUCUUGGACACUUUUGGAACGCAUGUUGAGAGUAUGAAUUCCACAUGUGGGAGAGGCUAAGAGUAUGAAUUCCACAUCGGAAAAGAAUGGACUUUGCAUGUGCUUAUAAGUAAUUAAACUAUUACCAAUAUCGCCAAUUUAUGAUAGAACCUGAACUUACUCCGAUGCAUGUCACGUUAAUAAAUCACAAUACGAUUAUUGGAAAAGAUACAGAAACUCUGAAAAAUCUCCCAUGGAUAGGAAGGAGCUACACCACAGGAUGUUCUGUUUCUUCGCCCUAAAGAAGUACUGAAGUAGAGAUUUUGUACUUUGUCUAGGAAUUGGAACUGCGUAAAUCUGCGGAUCUUAAACAUGAAAGAGCCAUAAGCUCCGAAAAAUCCUGUGGUGAACCCAGGUGCGAAAGAGAAAUGAAACCAUGGAAUUGGAUUCCCAUUGUCCAAAUGACACGCCUCAACCCCGAUAUCCCCAAAUAUCAAGGAAAACACGUGCUGGCCGACACCCGAGGGUGACGAAGCCAUUUAAAACAUGCAUGCAAAUAAAGAAUAUGUGAUUAGAAUGAUUAUGCCAAAACAGGAACGUGUUCAGAGCAUACAACUACUAAAAAUAAUAUGGACUAAUUACUAGGAAAAGAUACGAACAAGGAAAUGAUACCUAUACUGAGGAGACUCGAGGAUAACUAAGCCGAAGUGUCCUGACGAUGGGAUCAUGUGCCUCGAUUGUAACUCCUAAGGGGGCGCAAAAAACAGAAAAGGUGAGUGAACCAAAGUUUAAUAUAAUAAUACUAAUAAUAGGAAAACCAUUUUCUUUCUGAACAUACUAACCCCUUGUUUUGAAAAUAUAUAUAAUACUACAGAUAGGUUUUAUAAAAACCCUAGCAUGCAAUGAAAAAUGUUCGUAAAAUCAAUAUAUGUAAUACCAUGCUCAAAAAUGCUGAAAAUGUUGCACGAAGGCAAAUCCAUAUAUGUCAUCAGUGAAGUACUCCACUAGGGGUAUCAUAGUUGCCCGAAGGCAGUACCUGUUCAUCACCUGAAUUUGAAGCUAAAUAACCUGUCCAUCACUCGAAGGUAAAGCUGUAUAACCUGUCCAUCACCCGAAGGUGAAAUUGAAUAAAAUAGCCUACAUCCACACCGACACUAGCUGUGGCUAGUGAAACUGUUUGACACCGCUUUCGGCGGUGAAGCUGGGGGUAUAUAAUAUAUCAUAUCUCACUCCUCCAUCAUUUGUGUUCUAUGGCCAUAGGCAAUACCCGUGGUGUGCGGAUGUGCCGUAUGAUAACCCACUAGAUAAGUACUAAAAACAUAUUUCAAAAUCUCGUAUCAUAAAUCCAAGACAAAUCAUGUUCACAAAUCUAUAAAAUAAAUCAUCUUCGUAACUUCAUAAUAUAAGUCAUAUUCGAGAUCAGUAGAAAUCCAUAUAUGCAAAUCCCAUAAUUCAUAACCGUUCAUAAAUGUAAUUUCAAUAAAAUCAUGAAUAUUCCGUAAAAGCAAUUAAACCAUGAAUUCGAUAUAAACCAUAAUUAUAUAAAUCCGGAAAACAUAAUAUAAAAUGUAUUAAAUGCAUGAAUUAUGAAAUGCAUGCUAGGCUACUAUUUUAUAAAAAUAUUUAAGUUAUGAAGGGGUCCACUCACUGAUUUUAUUGCCCGAGAACCGCUCAAACUAUCGAGGAUGUAAUCCUUUCCCGCUAACGCGCCUAAACACAAAUAGGGACCUUUUAGUAAAACUCUACUAAAACGUUAUAAUUUUGGAAAACAGAUGGCGGAUUCAGAUUCAGCACGUCAAGGAACCUCGAGUUUUCCUCCAAGCGCCGCCUUGCUUGGCGGUCAGCUGUCCCAACUUGCUGGAAAAUCCAACAACUCAAAAAAUUCUAAUAUUUUACAGGAAUAAAGAUCUCGAUGAGAGGAACAACCUUCAUACCUGUGACUAAGGCCAAUUUGGUCGGGAAAAGCCUCAAUUCCACUAAAACCUGUCGGACCCUGGAACUAGGUGGUUCUUGAUUUGACUCCAAACAAGUUUCAACGCCCCAACCAAUGCAUGGGCUUUGUUCCUAAGAUUGAGGAGAGUCUAUUAGUGGUGGUGGUUGGCUGAGUUUGCUUCAGGAAUGGUGGAUUGCCGCCAUGAGACCUGUCGCACCCACCGGUGUUAUUCUCCACGAAAUGAAACCUAAUCUCAUCGAGUUUAGGGUGAAAUUCAUAGCAAUGAUGUCGUGGUGAUGUUUACAGGUGAUGGUUGUCCGUAAAAAGCUAGGAAAACGCAGUGAAAAGCGUUGGAAAAGUCACUGAACACUGGGUCGCGACAUGGAAACGGGUCGAGAGUCCGAUUGGCUACCCCUCAACUCUCUUAUUUCCACUCAUUGCUCUCUCUUCCCAUUGGUCACUCACUUCUCUCUCUUCUUUCUGAUUGGGCGUCCCGCCCAUCAUUUUCUCUUCUUUCUGAUUGGGCAUCCCGCCCCUCAUUUAUCUUCUUUAUCUUUCAUCUCCACCAUUGUAACAUCCCACAUCGACCAACGGAGAAGGGGUGAUGUGCCUUAUAUGUACAUGCUCACCUCCUUUGGCAUGUGGCAUUUUGGGAACUCACUGACUUUGGAUUCCAUCGGAACUCAUAAGUUAAGCGAGUUCGGUCGAGAACAUUCCCACGAUGGGUGACCCACUACUAAGUGCAGUCAAGUAUGACCAUUACUAAAUUACAACACCCGAAGGUGAGUCCUACAUUUAUGUAGUCUGUCAGAAUGCCGUGGGAAUCCUCGUGAGCCUUCAACACUGCUAACUAGAACCUGGAGGGGCGCAAAACAAGAUUGAGUGGGUCAGUAAAACAAAGCUUUUCGAAAAUAUUUCAUUUAAUAACACUUCUAACCCCUUACUGUAAAAUCUGUAUACUUUCCCAGAAAAAUAGUAUAUAAAUAAUCAUAUAUCACAGCAAAACUCAAAUCACAAGUCUUAACACUUUUCAAGAAUAUGCCAUGCUAUGAUUCAAAACAUGAUAAGGAUGCAUCAAUAUAAUAGGUGAAAUAAUGAAUCAACCGGAGACCCUGCAGCUGUCAUGUACGGUUAAUUCUAUAGCUCAUUAUCCAACCUAACCAGAGUCACCACUAUGACCUAUACGACACAACUCUGCGCAUAAAUCGAAACUACCUGAAGUAGUCUGUACGAUAAGAAUGGUGUAAGAAUAUGCUCUAGUGCUUCUCUCAUCAACAUCUGUAUAAUAAUCUACAGUUACCUACAAGUCGGAACCACCUCUAAUGGUCUGUAUGACAUGUCAGAACCACCUCUAGUGAUUUGUAUGACAUGCACCUACUUGGAUCCAAGGUGAGCGUGUGGUGCGAGGUGAAUAAUAUAAGCACUAACACCAUGGGUGCAGGUUAUGAGCUCUCAACACAAUUCACAUCAUCAAUAAACCAUAUGAACAACAUAAAACUCACCGGAUACUCACUUGUGCGUCCACAGCACCAUUUCACAUAUAUGCAUCAAAUACUAAUUCAUAUAUUUCAUAUAAUAUGCAUGCAUGGCAUUUUAAAACAUACUUUCAUUUAUAUUCAAUUUCUGGGAAAAAUUCAGUAGUAGCUAGGUAUAAACAGAAAAUAACUACCCACUCACUAGUAAGUCGAAGGGUCGUAACCCCCAUGACGCCCUUGAAUGCGCUUGUCCUUGUGGGUCUCACCUAUAUGCGAAACAACUAUAAAAACGUUAUUUUAAAGCACAUAACCAACAAUACGUAAUAACUUCUCAUACGAUGCUCAAUUUGGGUAUAUGAAUAUACCACAGUGACCUACUCGAUGUCACGGACGUCGAGGUAUUUUUAGAAAAAAAUUUCAACAUCGCACGCGCCCCCACGCGCCGGAUAGGCACGGACCUACGUGCUCCCACGCGCGUCAUCUUCUUCCUCCAGUCGCCGGACUGGUUUCGCUGGCGACGAAAAAGUCGCCGGUUUCUGGGAAAUUUUCAAACUCCUUGUUCUUCGUCAAUUCUCAACCAUUUUUCACGCAAUUUAUACCAAAAUGAAGCCCUAAGCAUGUAGAAUCACGAUGUACUAAUUUAAGGCUAAAAAACACAUGAAAUCUCACCGGAGAAAAUCCAAGAAAAUCGGCCAACUUCGAACCCUACGAUCCCGACGUCCAAAACUUUCAAACUAAGUACUCCGAGCUUCCUUAGGACCUCACUAAGCUCCCUGUAGGCUUAGAAUUCCCUGAAAACCAACAUUUCACGUGUGCAUGAACAGUGGCAUUAAACUGGGUUACGGUUUCAAUGUGAUUUCGAGGGUUUCCAGUUCUAAAACUAGUACCAAACGAUUCAGAAGGUUGCAAGGAGGAAGGAACUCACCUUUUUGACGUCGAUCUGUGAAGUUUUGAGGGGUUUUGGUUCUCGUCCGUACGAGUUCGAAAGGGAGGGAGAGAGAGUGAACUGAGAGGGAGGAGAAAGAGAGCACGGGGUGAGUGUGUUUGUCCCGUGUGUGUGUGGUCCACCCAAAACCAAUCACAAUCCAAAUUUCUUAAGUCCCUAACCACACAAAAACAAAUGUAUACCAUUUAAUCCCCUUAAAUUUCCUAAGAACUUAGGAGAAUAUGCAAUUCAAAUAAACAUGUCACACAUACCUUAGUAACUGUUAAGGGCAAUUCUGUCAUUUCACAUCCACGAUAAAUGAAAUUUCGGGACGGGCUGUGACAAUUUUGUCCUUAACUUCAUUCGUUAAUAACUCCUUCAUUAUAACUUCAAAUUGCGUUCCGUUUGCAGCCACGCAUUCAUAGCGACGAGUACUACGAGGAUACGCCAAGAAAACGGAUCUUACGUGACACGACAAGGCGAUCAACAAAAGUCAAUGUAUUUGUUUCGAAGGGCAUUUUUUGUAAAUUCACGUAUUAAAAUUAUAAAAACCAUAAUUUUUGGGGACAGGUCAUUACACCAAAUCUUGGCUGUUCUUAUAUUUGCACCAAUGCCAUCACCGGUGCACCGCAAAGUUUCAAAUUCACCUCGAAGGCGGAUGAAUUAAACCGCAAAGUACUGUAUGAUACAUUAAAAAUGACAAGAUAUUAAGAACCGCCAAUGACGCUGGGGUUUCUCCGGACAGAAGAUUUAUGGAGAGGUCUAGUAUUGUGUCCAAGUUUUGAGGUCAGACAUAUAUUUGGUCUGGAAUGUAACCGGACAAGUUGUUAGCAUUAAAUUAAUCCAAGGCGUGGAGAAGCUGCAGUGGGCCAAUCUCAAUAAAUAUUUUGCCGGUAAAUCUAUGGUUCUGAAAGAAUAGCGCUUCGGCAAGUUCUUCGCAAUAUAGUUUUGAUGUAAAGAAUUUGUACUAACAAUGAUGAUCAUGGGGAGUUCAAGACAUGUGGUCUGUUGAGGUUAAGUGAUUUCAGAUACCAACAUUGGCAGCCUGCAAAGUUCCUUUGGAAAUCCCCCUGAAAUUCGGUCAAGAAGGGUCUCCAACCAACUAGGAAAUUUAAUUGACUGAAAGAGGAUUUUACAAAUUCUAAUUGCUGAAAAAAUCAAAAUCAAAUAACGAAGACAUAUAUAAAUAAGAUAUGACGACAUUAUGGGUCAAAUAUUUACGAUAUAUUGAAAAAAUUCCAAAAAGUGAUCAUUUUGACAAUUGAGAUUUUGUAUUUUUAUUGUUUCUAUCAAUUUUCCUAGAAGUAAAGCUACGAAAAAAGAAGCAUCAGAAAGAUGAAAUUAUAUUACGCACAAUUCUGUCGGGCAAUGUUUGUCGCACAAACAUCAUCAGUGCAGAGUUUACCGAUGAAUGGUACAAAGUUGUCGAGCAAAUUGUAUUUACAUGACGAAAUAAUUUCGUCGAGGAAAGGACGUUGACCUUUGCUCGACGAACAUUCUGAUUUUGCCCUACGAAUCGUAAACCCUAAAUUAUAAAAUAUACAUACCUUUGCACGACGAACAAUUCAACGAAACUUGUAUUAUUCGUCGCACAAUGGUUGCUAUAUUUACGCGCCAAGUUUUUUCCUUGGUGUGAAAACUUUACCCGAUGAAUGGAACUUUGCCAGUCGAACGCUGUUCGUCAAGCAAAAGCCUCUAAAGAACCAAAACGUUACUGUUUUUGGCAACCGAAUAUAUGAAUUCCAACGAUUAAAGUUCAGUGAAAGUGAAAGGGGCUUUAUGCCAUCAAAUUAUUAUAGGCAAAACUAUUAACAAACAAUAAUCGUAUUUCUUAAUUUGCCAUCGCUAGGAACUUAUCUUUAACAUUGCUCAGAAAUAGGAAAUAUCCAUGUCUCCAAGACCUAAUAAACACCAAAGAGCCACAGACUCCCCAAAAUCCGAAAAUAAAACCAAAAAUCACGGAAAAAUGAAACCACGGAACUCCUUUUUCAUCACUAGUGUGCACAUCUUUAGUGUCAUUACUUAUAUUCAUCUGUUGGCAUUUGUUUGGAAGUGGGGCACCACAAAGUCCUUGGUUCCCCUCGAAUGCAGUGGCAUUCAAGCCUUCGAUUUGAGUGCCGGAUGGUAUUAUUCCUUGAAGGUUGUUGUAAGCAACCGUAAAUGACGACAAGAAAUGGAGACUUGAUAUUGAUGCUGGGAUUUCUCCUGACAGAUGAUUUCUUGAGAGGUCGAAUCUUUCCAAACUUGUGAGGUUCGAUAUUUGGUUUGGAAUUUCUCCAGACAAGUUGUUGACGCUAAGAUCCAGUUCUCGAAGAAGUUGCAAUUGACCAAUCUCAAACGGUAUAUUUCCACUUAAACUGUUAUUCCUGAGGGAGAUUGCUCGUGGCAUGUUGGACAGAUACUUGUACUGCAAGGGAGUUACAGACGCAUUAACCCGUUGGUAGUAGAUGGGAAGCUCGAGAUAAUCAUAGCCUGUUUGAGUUGCAGCAUUUUGUGAUACCAAUGCUUGUAGUCUGCAAAGCUCCUUCGGAAAUUCUCCUGAAAUCAAGUUAUGAUUCAGUAUUAAAAGGAAAAGACUUGGUAGAGUCCCCAACCAUCCAGGUAUUGGGCCUGUGAGUCUGUUAAAAGACAGAUCCAAGACUUCGAGUUUCUUGAGCUUCAACAACCAUAAAGGUACUUGACCUGUCAACUGGCACCUAUAGAAGCUCGAAAUGGAUAGAUUUUGGAACCCAGAAGAUUCAUCCAUAAUAUCAACAUCUGGCAUUUCUUCACCGAGAAAAUUUUCUGAAAGAAGGAGUACCCUGAGACUUUUGCAACCCAUCAAUAUCUUCAUUGCACCAGUGGCAUUAGUCAAUCUGUUUUCAGAAAGCGAGAGGAAGGACAACGAUUUCAACGAGACAAUCUCAGGUUGUAUUUGUCCCUCAAGAUUGUUUUCAGCCAGUCGAAGUGCUUUGAGGGAUUUGCAUGAGUAAAGGCUUAUUGGCAAGAUACCAGUGAACAGAUUAGCAAAAAAAUCUAGUUUACUAAGUUGAGUAAGUUCAGAGAAAUCAAGCACGGAGA
rnacentral:lncRNA from 1 species